AGGGUUUGAUUCUGGCUCAGAACGUACGCUGGCGGCACGCCUAAUACAUGCAAGUCGAACGGAGUAGCAAUACUUAGUGGCAGACGGGUGAGUAACAUGUAGGUAUCUUCCCUUUGGUGAGGAAUAACACGAGGAAACUUGUGCUAAUACCUCAUAAGUCUUUACGGAGAAAGCUUUAUGCGCCAAUGGAUGAGCCUGCACUUGAUUAGUUUGUUGGUGGGGUAAUGGCCUACCAAGACUUUGAUCAAUAGCUGAUUUGAGAGGAUGAUCAGCCACAUUGGGACUGAGACACGGCCCAAACUCCUACGGGAGGCAGCAGUAGGGAAUCUUGCACAAUGGAGGAAACUCUGAUGCAGCGAUGCCGCGUGAGUGAAGAAGGCCUUUGGGUUGUAAAGCUCUUUCGUCGGGGAAGAAAAUGACUGUACCCGAAUAAGAAGGUCCGGCUAACUUCGUGCCAGCCGCCGCGGUGAUUC
rnacentral:rRNA from 1 species